CAAUAGCGUAUAUUAAAGUUGUUGCAGUUAAAAAGCUCGUAGUUGGAUUUCUGGUGGGAGCGAUCGGUCUGGCGCUUAGCGCGAGUACUUGCAUCGUCUCCGGCCAUCCUUGGGGAGAGUCUGUCUGGCAUUAAGUUGUCGGGCAGAGGAUCCUCAUCGUUUACUGUGAAAAAAUUAGAGUGUUCAAAGCAGGCUUAUGCCGUUGAAUAUAUUAGCAUGGAAUAAUAAGAUAGGACUUUGGUACUAUUUGUUGGUUUGCGCACCAAAGUAAUGAUUAAUAGGGACAGUUGGGGGUAUUCGUAUUCCGUUGUCAGAGGUGAAAUUCUUGGAUUUACGGAAGACGAACUACUGCGAAAGCAUUUACCAAGGAUGUUUUCAUUAA
rnacentral:rRNA from 1 species